rnacentral:tRNA from 5 species
GCAGGUAUGCUGAAAUUGGCAGACAGGCUAGAUUGAGGGUCUAGUGUGCGUAUGCACGUAUGGGUUCAAGUCCCUUUACCUGCACCA